rnacentral:rRNA from 1 species
UAGAACCGCUCAUGCUGAGAGUCUGACGGAGCACGCCGCGUGAGUGAUGAAGGUUUUCGGAUCGUAAAGCUCUGUUGUUAGGGAAGAACAAGUGCAAGAGUAACUGCUUGCACCUUGACGGUACCUAACCAGAAAGCCACGGCUAACUACGUGCCAGCAGCCGCGGUAAUACGUAGGUGGCAAGCGUUGUCCGGAAUUAUUGGGCGUAAAGGGCUCGCAGGCGGUUUCUUAAGUCUGAUGUGAAAGCCCCCGGCUCAACCGGGGAGGGUCAUUGGAAACUGGGAAACUUGAGUGCAGAAAAGGAGAGUGGAAUUCCACGUGUAGCGGUGAAAUGCGUAGAGAUGUGAAGGAACACCAGUGGCGAAGGCGACUCUCUGGUCUGUAACUGACGCUGAGGAGCGAAAGCGUGGGGAGCGAACAGGAUUAGAUACCCCGGAAGCCAGAGGGGGGG